CGCGGACGAAGCCAGCCGUAGUACUCCCUUCUCAGAUAUGCGCGCUCGUGGUGCAGGAGCGCUCCUGGCGCCCCGCCGCGACGGUGGCCGGGGCCCCCUCGCUGGCGUCCCGGUCGCGUCAACCACCUCAAUCUCGCUGGCGUCCGCCUCCGCGAUGUCAAGAGGUGGAUCUUGUUUCUGCAGUGAGUUGCUCAUCUGGAGACAAUCGAGCGUAGAUUGUUGAAGGCACAUCUCCAAUAUUCCUGCACAAAAAAACAAUGCGCAUCAACUAACAGAAGUGCAACACACUCUCAUCUGAGUGUUCACAUCUUUCUUUUUUUUUGGUUGAUUCGUUUAAACCUCACUAUGUACAUACAAGGCAGAAUCACAGUCCCUGCAUCGUUGGCUUGCCAAGUUU